CCCGCCCCCGGCCCACCUUCCCGCCGGGCGCCCUCCGCCGGGCCUCCGCGGCGCCGGGCUCCAGAAGGACGCACAGGGUGGCGGGAGGGCCGGCGGGAUCUGGAACCCGGAGAACUCGCCCUGCCGAUUUCUUUUAUUUCUUAUUAGCCACCACGUUCUGUGCUCUUGGAACGACCUCUCGCCUUUGAACGUAGCCGGACUCUGUUAUUAGCGGUGCUCUACCGAGGCCUGGGGUUGCCCCACCGCGCCGAGCGCCAAUUUGGACGUAAGGACAAUACUUUUCCCUGGCGGCCAUUCGCGCCGACCAGAGUUCGCUCGGGUUGCCCUUUUCCCACCGCCCGGCAGCCGCGGAGGCCCGAAGGGCCCCGCGGCCUUGCACGGUGGCAGUGGGGCCUGGUACGGCGAUGUCUGCGCCGGAUACAGAUAGGGAAGUCGAGGCCAAGAGCGACCAAGCAGCUCUGAGGGGCUGGGGAAGGAAUCCAGGGGCAGGCAACCAGUGAUUUCUAAUCUCUGAAACCAGUGGUUCCCAACUUGUUGGGCCAAGAAACGCUCACACGUGAAAUAACGUCGCGGCUGAGUGGGUUAUAAUAGCAAAGGCGUUGGGUCCACGGAUCACGCGUCAAUCCGGCUUCCUGCACACGCUAGCUGGGUGGCCUCAAGACAAUGACUCCGCCUCCCACAUGGAGGUUAUAAGGAUCCAUCUCACCCAGUGCUGGAGAGGAACAGGAGAUGAGCACCUGUUACCCACCCGCCCAACGUUGGUCUACCCAGAUAUUUCCAACGAGCUGUGUUGAAUUGUGGAGUUCCGACUCUUCCCUCUGAAUCACUACGUCCUCUCCUCCCCAAGUUUUCAUUUCGCGCGUAUCUAACGUUCCUGACUUUUCUGAGUAACUGAGAACUAAAAUGGGCCCCAUUUUAGAAAUACUGCACAAUAAUGCAUCUCUCCAAUACCUACCACCCCACCACCACCAGCCUCAACAAGUUUAUCAUUCUCCAUGGAAGGGUGGAGAUGAAAAACCCUUGCAGAGAAACCUACGAGUCUACUUCCUUUGUUGGACAGAGUUACAAUAAAUUGAAACUGUCUAAGCUG